rnacentral:rRNA from 1 species
CCCCAAGAUAAGGUCUCCCACAGGGAAAACCUGGUAAGGCACCUCCGAGAAGAGGAGGUAGAUAGGCCGGAGGUGGAAGCGCAGCAAUGCGUGGAGCCGACCGGUACUAAUAUGCCGAGGCUUUGACGCCUG